rnacentral:tmRNA from 1 species
GGGGAUGAUCGGUUUCGACGGCGGUGACUGCCGAAGGGAAGCGGGUAGAGGAGGCAGAGUCAUCUCUUUAACGACUCUCUGCAAACUAUAACUGCCAACAAGCAGAAGUCUGACUUCGCCCUCGCUGCUUAAGCGCGAGCGCCUUUAAAGUCCGUCAGCCUCGCGUUGCUUUCGCGUGAGAUGUCUGGCGUCAUCUAGGAAGCCACUGAAUCGCAGCAAUGUUGCCGGGCUGUGAUCGACACUAGGUAACUAUGUUCGUCAGCAACUUGUCUGUGUGAGUGCUGGAGCUGAAAAUAACGUUUAACAGACUGCACCCGGAGAAGUCUUGGGUUUUGCAUCGUCGGACGGGAGUUCAAUUCUCCCCAUCUCCACUG